UGGGGAAUAUUGGACAAUGGGGGCAACCCUGAUCCAGCCAUGCCGCGUGUGUGAAGAAGGCCUUUUGGUUGUAAAGCACUUUAAGCAGCGAAGAAGACUCCAUGGUUAAUACCCGUGGACGAUGACAUUAGCUGCAGAAUAAGCACCGGCUAACUCUGUGCCUGCAGCCGCGGUAAUACAGAGGGUGCAAGCGUUAAUCGGAAUUACUGGGCGUAAAGCGAGCGUAGGUGGCUUGAUAAGUCAGAUGUGAAAGCCCCGGGCUUAACCUGGGAACGGCAUCUGAUACUGUUAGGCUAGAGUAGGUGAGAGGAAGGUAGAAUUCCAGGUGUAGCGGUGAAAUGCGUAGAGAUCUGGAGGAAUACCGAUGGCGAAGGCAGCCUUCUGGCAUCAUACUGACACUGAGGUUCGAAAGCGUGGG
rnacentral:rRNA from 1 species